UAUAACUGUUCUGAGACCAGUGCAGACAGACAGCACACUGGAGGUUAAGUCAUGCACUAAAUAGGGAGCAAGGGAGCAUCCUAUAACUCUCCUAUAACUGUUCUGAGACCAGUGCAGACAGACAGCACACUGGAGGUUAAGUCAUGCACUAAAUAGGGAGCAAGGGAGCAUCCUAUAGCUCUCCUAUAACUGUUCUGAGACCAGUGCAGACAGACAGCACACUGGAGGUUAAGUCAUGCACUAAAUAGGGAGCAAGGGAGCAUCCUAUAACUCUCCUAUAACUGUUCUGAGACCAGUGCAGACAGACAGCACACUGGAGGUUAAGUCAUGCACUAAAUAGGGAGCAAGGGAGCAUCCUAUAGCUCUCCUAUAACUGUUCUGAGACCAGUGCAGACAGACAGCACACUGGAGGUUAAGUCAUGCACUAAAUAGGGAGCAAGGGAGCAUCCUAUAGCUCUCCUAUAACUGUUCUGAGACCAGUGCAGACAGACAGCACACUGGAGGUUAAGACAUGCACUAAAUAGGGAGCAAGGGAGCAUCCUUUUGCUCAUUACUAUUAAUCAGAAUUAAUUAUGAUAAUUUCUGAUUGGUGAAAUGCUUCAGCACUGACCAUCACUUGAGAGAGAACAUCGAGAUUUUAUUGCCAAAGUAGA